rnacentral:rRNA from 1 species
GGAUUGUAAACCUCUGUCCUUGGUGACGAUAAUGACGGUAGCCAAGGAGGAAGCCACGGCUAACUACGUGCCAGCAGCCGCGGUAAUACGUAGGUGGCAAGCGUUGUCCGGAAUUACUGGGUGUAAAGGGAGCGUAGGCGGGAAAGCAAGUUGAAUGUUUAAACUAUCGGCUCAACCGAUAAUCGCGUUCAAAACUGUUUUUCUUGAGUGAAGUAGAGGUAGGCGGAAUUCCUAGUGUAGCGGUGAAAUGCGUAGAUAUUAGGAGGAACACCAGUGGCGAAGGCGGCCUACUGGGCUUUAACUGACGCUGAGGCUCGAAAGCGUGGGUAGCAAACAGGAUUAGAUACCCUGGUAGUCCACGCCGUAAACGAUGAUUACUAGGUGUGGGGGGAUCAACCCUUCCGUGCCGCAGCAAACGCAAUAAGUAAUCCACCUGGGGAGUA